AUCGGUGAGGCCGGGCACUCUGGAUGGACUGCCGGCGACAAGCCGGAGGAAGGUGGGGACGACGGUCAAGUCAUCAUGGCCCUUAUGUCCAGGGCGACACACGUGCUACAAUGGCCGGCACAGCGGGAAGCGAAGGGGCGACUCUGAGCGGAUCCCUUAAAAGCCGGUCCCAGUUCGGAUUGCAGUCUGCAACUCGACUGCAUGAAGUUGGAAUCGCUAGUAAUCGUGGAUCAGCCAAGCCGCGGUGAAUACGUUCCCGGGCCUU
rnacentral:rRNA from 1 species